GAUGAACGCUGGCGGCGUGCUUAACACAUGCAAGUCGAACGGAGUUUACUUAACAGAUUUCUUCGGAAUGAUGUUUUUUAAACUUAGUGGCGGACGGGUGAGUAACGCGUGGGUAACCUGCCUUACACAGGGGGAUAGCAGUUGGAAACGACUGGUAAUACCGCAUACCCUACAUUAUUCGCAUGUUUGAUGUAAGAAAGAUUUUAUCGGUGUAAGAUGGACCCGCGUCUGAUUAGCUAGUUGGUGUGGUAACGGCAUACCAAGGCGACGAUCAGUAGCCGGCCUGAGAGGGUGAACGGCCACAUUGGGACUGAGAUACGGCCCAGACUCCUACGGGAGGCAGCAGUGGGGAAUAUUGCACAAUGGAGGCAACUCUGAUGCAGCGACGCCGCGUGAGUGAAGAAGUAUUUCGGUAUGUAAAGCUCUAUCAGUAGGGAAGAUAAUGACGGUACCUACAGAAGAAGCCUCGGCUAAAUACGUGCCAGCCGCCGCCGUAA
rnacentral:rRNA from 1 species